rnacentral:rRNA from 1 species
CCAUCAGCUAGUUGGCGGGGUAACGGCCCACCAAUGCAAGGACGGGUAGGGGGUGUGAGAGCAUGGCCCCCCACAAUGGGACUGGAACACGGCCCAUACUCCUACGGGAGGCAGCAGCAGGGAAUAUUGCACAAUGGACGGAAGUCUGAUGCAGCGACGCCGCGUGGAUGAAGAAGGCCCUCGGGUUGUAAAAUCCUUUACAGGGGGAAGAGGAAGGACGGUACCCCUGGAACAAGUGUCGGCUAACUACGUGCCAGCAGCCGCGGUAAGACGUAGGACACAAGCGUUAUCCGGAUUUACUGGGCGUAAAGCGUCUGCAGGCGGACAGGUAAGUUGGGCGUGAAAGCUCCGGGCCCAACCCGGAGAGGUCGUUCAAUACUGCGUGUCUAGAGGGUGUCAGAGGGGAGUGGAAUUUCCGGAGUAGCGGUAAAAUGCGCAGAGAUCGGAAAGAACACCAAUGGUGAAGGCAGCUCCCUGGGGCAACCCUGACGCUAAGAGACGAAAGCUAGGGGAGCGAACAGGAUUAGAGACCCUGGCAGUCCUAGCCCUAAACGAUGGAUGCUGGAUGUGGGGCCAUAGCGCUCCGUGUCGAAGCGAACGCGUUAAGCAUCCCGCCUGGGGACUACGGCCGCAAGGUUAAAACUCAAACGAAUUGACGGGACCCCGCACAAGCGGCGGAGCGUGUGGUUUAAUUCGAUGCUACACGAAGAACCUUACCUGGGUUUGACAUCUAGGUGGUAGUGAAGCGAAAGCGGAGCGACCCUUCGGGGAGCCUAGACAGGUGCUGCAUGGCUGUCGUCAGCUCGUGCCGUGAGGUGUCGGGUUAAGUCCCGUAACGAGCGCAACCCUUGCCCUCCGUUAUACGUGUCAGAGGGGACUGCCGGCGGUAAGCCGGAGGAAGGUGGGGAUGACGUCAAGUCAGCAUGGCCUUUAUAUCCAGGGCUACACACACGCUACAAUGGCCAGUACAAAGGGCAGCGAAGCCGCGAGGUGGAGCGAAUCCCAGCAAAGCUGGUCGUAGUUCGGAUUG